AGCACCUAAAAGCGUUUUCUUGCCAGCCCGUUAACUGCUCUUGAAAAUCGUAGAUGUGUGCCAGAGCAAGCUUCCCAACUGCAAAGGAUUUGGGUUCUCCAAUAACUUUAAUCCGUUUAUGUUGUGAAUAGUU